AAGAGUAUGCAUGUUAAAUCUUUAAAUAUAUUAUUUUAUCUUACACUAAGUCGGCACAACAACGACCCAAGACCCAUUACUUAGAGCAUUCUGUUUGACGAAAGAUAACAUCGUAUGCUCGACGGAUUCUUCACCAAUAUGUGGUUCUGACAAACGCCUAUAUCUAAACAAAUGCUUUUAUUCGAAAGCGUUUUGUGACAACCCAUCAUUGACGUCAAUAAACAUUGGAUCCUGCAUUGGUAAUGUUGUAGUAGGAAAAUAGAAUUAUGUGCGCAUUUAUGUCUGUUUUUCUCGGUUGGUUUAGAAUAUAAAAAUACAAAAGAAAAUCAUAUA